CGGUUGUUAGCUCAGUCGGUAGAGCAGUUGACUCUUAAUCAAUUGGUCGGGAGUUCGCUAGCCUCCCACGACCCACCA
rnacentral:tRNA from 1 species